GUUAGAAUAUUGAAAUUAUUUUUUUUAGUACGAGAGGAUCAAAAAAAUUAUACCAAUGAUAUAUCAAUUAUAAAAUUUUUUUGUAAAGUUGAGUAGUUAAGUAUAAAAUUUUAAUUGUUGAAGUAAUAUAAAUAAGAAAAUUUAGUUAAAAAUAAUAUUCUAAUCAUAUAAAUGAAUAAAACAAUAAUUAGAAAAAUUAUUUUAUAGGAUUAGUAUGUAUUUAUAGUAAUAUAUUUAGUGUAUAAUUCCUAAUAAGUUGA
rfam:Plasmodium falciparum RAJ116 apicoplast scaffold supercont1.1202, whole genome shotgun sequence.